rnacentral:rRNA from 1 species
GACGAACGCUGGCGGCGUGCUUAACACAUGCAAGUCGAGCGGAAAGGCCACUUCGUUGGUACUCGAGCGUCGACCGCGUGAGUAACACGUGCGUAAUCUUCCCCUCCCUUUGGGAUAGCCACCGGUAACGGUGAUUAAUACUGAUUAUGACCAUAUUUCGCAUGCCGUGUGGUGGAUAGUUUUGCGGUGGGGGAUGUUCUCGCGUCCUAUCAUCCUGGCGGUGUGGUAAUGGCUGACCAUGGCCUCGUCGGGUAGGCGACCUGGGAUGGUGGCCGGGCACAAUGGGACUGAGACACGGAGCAGAAUCCUACGGGAGGCAGCAGUGGGGAGUAUUGGACAAUGGGCGGAAGCCUGAUACAGAGACGCCGCGUGAGGGAUGACGGCCUUCGGGUUGUAAACAUAUGUCAGUACCGACGAAGAGCAAGUGACGGUAGGUACAGAAGAAGCACCGGCCAACUACGUG